CAGACCUUUUUCGACCUCAAUUUUAGAACACGUUCCGCAAUUCCAACAUUCCGGGGCCCCCUCUGGGAAAGUUGGGCCCCCUUUCAAGUUGACUAUUUUGGCCUGAGAACUGUCUGAGUGUUCUAGAUGUAUCAUCCAGAAAUGGUUGGAUAAAUGUAAUUGAAAUUGGAUCAAAAGUAUAUGUCAGAUAACGCGUAACCACAAACAGCCAUACAAAAGAGAAGAAAUAUACCGGGGGAAAUCCCUACAUGUAGCUUAACACAAACAGGAGAG